UGUGUAGGCGGUUGCUUAAGUUUGGUGUGAAAUCUCCCGGCUUAACUGGGAGGGUGCGCCGAAUACUGAGUGACUCGAGUGCGGGAGAGGAGAGUGGAAUUCCUGGUGUAGCGGUGAAAUGCGUAGAUAUCAGGAGGAACACCGGUGGUGUAGACGGCUCUCUGGACCGUAACUGACGCUGAGACACGAAAGCGUGGGUAGCAAACAGGAUUAGAUACCCUGGUAGUCCACGCCCUAAACGAUGCAUAUUUGGUGUGGGCCGUUCAGUCGGUCCGUGCCGGAGCUAACGCGUUAAAUAUGCCGCCUGGGGAGUACAGUCGCAAGGCUGAA
rnacentral:rRNA from 1 species